CUCCUCCAUUUAUUCAAAUGACAGACGUUUGCCAAUAUCACAUGGAUUACGGCUAAAGAUGUCGUUUCGAAUGGGAUUAUUUCGAAGGAAUAUUUUCUGCAAUACAACAUGCUGGGUCGAGAAUGGAAUAACUUAAAAAGGUU